UACGUAGGUGGCAAGCGUUAUCCGGAAUUAUUGGGCGUAAAGCGCGCGCAGGCGGUUUCUUAAGUCUGAUGUGAAAGCCCACGGCUCAACCGUGGAGGGUCAUUGGAAACUGGGAAACUUGAGUGCAGAAGAGGAAAGUGGAAUUCCACGUGUAGCGGUGAAAUGCGUAGAGAUGUGGAGGAACACCAGUGGCGAAGGCGACUUUCUGGUCUGAUAACUGACGCUGAGGCGCGAAAGCGUGGGGAGCAAACAGG
rnacentral:rRNA from 1 species